AGUGAACGCUGGCGGUAGGCCUAACACAUGCAAGUCGAACGGCAGCACAGAGGAGCUUGCUCCUUGGGUGGCGAGUGACGGACGGGUGAGGAAUACAUCGGAAUCUACUCUGUCGUGGGGGAUAACGUAGGGAAACUUACGCUAAUACCGCAUACGACCUACGGGUGAAAGCAGGGGAUCUUCGGACCUUGCGCGAUUGAAUGAGCCGAUGUCGGAGUAGCUAGUGGGCGGGGUAAAGGCCCACCAAGGCGACGAUCCGUAGCUGGUCUGAGAGGAUGAUCAGCCACACUGGAACUGAGACACGGUCCAGACUCCUACGGGAGGCAGCAGUGGGGAAUAUUGGACAAUGGGCGCAAGCCUGAUCCAGCCAUACCGCGUGGGUGAAGAAGGCCUUCGGGUUGUAAAGCCCUUUUGUUGGGAAAGAAAUCCAUCUGGUUAAUACCCGGGUGGGAUGACGGUACCCAAAGAAUAAGCACCGGCUAACUUCGUGCCAGCCGCCGCCGUAA
rnacentral:rRNA from 1 species